UUGCAAACAAGAUCACUAGCCCAGUAUUUUAUUGCUGAAGCAAGGGGAACAUGUUUGCGAAAUUAACUCUGAUGAUGGAAGUGUAUGGGCAAAAAAUCAUGUUUUGACCGCAACUUCUGUUUCAGUACAAAC